rnacentral:rRNA from 1 species
UCGGACCUCCAAUCAGUCAAGNUUACCCGCUGA